CAUGAGUCAGCAGUGUGGGACGUGGUUUGAACUUGUCCACAAGGGCAUUUGGUGUCAGUGCUAUUGCUGGAGAAAUUUAUGGAAAGUCUGAGUGACUUUUUCCUCACUGUCAUUUGUCUUCCUUUGGAUCUAGUUAUUUCCUUCUGCAUUUUUAGGCUACUUCCCUUCCUAGUUCAAAUGCACUUGCUAUGCAGCAGUGGUGGGGCUGGAGGCACUGCCUGAUAUUUCUGUGUGGGGGAAUGGAAAAUUCUCCCUGGGCAAGUUGGGGGGGAAGGAAGAGGGGCAGAAGGGAAGGCCUCUUAGGGAUAUCUAUAUCGCUGUUCUUAUAAACCCCCUACUGGGGAUACUGCUGGUUUGACAUAGGCUGAGCUUCUUGCUUGUUAAUCAGGUACCAGUGAGGUUGAGGAGUUUCUCCCUUCCCUGCCAUCCCUAGCAGGAUGGAGCAGAGUCACUGCAUGUAUUUGAAAUGAAUGUGUCAGAGCUGAUGGCUACAUUCAUAUGCAUGCUGUUCCCUUUUCUUCAUAUCCAUGCUACAUUCAUGUCCAUGCUGCCAUGUUGUUCCCAUUUGCCUCCCUGCAGGUUAAAUUGACUUGCUGAAGUUGCAGAAGUGUUGAGCAGGUUUGCCUUGCAAUAGACAAAAGUGAAUGCUUACCUUGUGCCAGGAGAUGGAUCGAUGCCUGGUGCUGACAGCAAGGCUCCAUUGCAGAACAGCUGCAGUGUCCCAACAGGAUCCAUGGUCACAAAGCAAUCAAUACCUGGUAGUGGCAGAGAGCACAGUGACAAGAAGAGGAACUGCCUUGCAAAAGCAGCAGCAGGGAACCCAGGGAAGGCAGCCUGUCUCAGGGAGGAGGAGUGAACUCAAGCACUGUGGCAUGUGGCUAACAGAAUGGAUUUGGCUCGCACAGCCCAGCUCGGGGGAGUUUUGGCCUGAGAGGACAUCUAGCUGGUGCUGGAUGAGUGCGAUUUGUCUUGGCUGAACAGGUUUGGGGGAAGAGCUCUCAUACUGCCUAUGGACCUGUGUGGAAUGGCUGGACAGAUGCCACAACCUCUAUGUCUAAUAGCAGCUAUAUCAAGAGCACGGGCAACUAUUACCAUAACAGACGCUGCAGUGCUGGGCAUGCUUCCUGCCCGCUCUGGAGAGUAGAUUUCCUCCCUGCAAUGAAUAUUUGAUGAAGGUGACUGCAUUGAGAUAAAUCGCCUCCAGUGAAGCAGAGCCCGCCCAACCAGCUGGCACAGCAUCCCAACAUCAUUAGCAGGCUGCUGUCCCUCAGGACAGGUUUUAAUUAUUUCUUGAAUGGCUGCAGUCUUUCCUGUUUCUACCCCCACCCCCAAACAGCCUUGCCAGCUGGCCUGGCCUCUGCAUUUAUCAUGUGUUCAUUAGCCUGACCUUCACUGUUGAACAAGACACAAAUGCUUUUGGGGAAUGAGGUGGGGCAGGGGACUGAGGUAGAUUUCAAUGUGAAUUAUGAACACAUGGGUAAGGGGAUAGAUGUGUACCCAGUCCAGUGUACUAAAUAUCUAGCUUUCUUUAAAAUAAGAUCCUCUGUAUGGGAAGGGGAUGUGGCAACAGUGGAAAAGGUGUGCUCCUACUGCAGUGAAGGGGUGAGUUCAAGUCCUGCCCUGGUCUCAAGCCAAAGUCUGCCACAAGUUAACCUGGGUGCAAAAGGCACCUGAUCAUUCAAACAGGGGAGCUGACACUAGCCACAUUGCUUCCUUGGGUGCCAUUGGCUACAGAAACUGGGUGUUUUAGCCACACUACCCCUGUGUGCUGUCAGGAUCAGGUACUUUGAACUUGAUAUAUGUGCGUGUGUGUGUGAGGAGCCUACUGAGCUCAGGAUCAGGAUACAAACAUGAAGAUGCCAGAGGCAGAAUUUUAGUUGGACGUUAGUGAGGUGUAACUCAGGGAAAGCUAGAAGCUGAUGCCCCGUGAUGUAUUACUGUUAUGGAUAGGACUUCACAGGCUUCUGUAGAUUUUUCCAUCCCAGAUUCUCAAAGCAUUUGUCUCACUACUGAAUUAAGACUCAUAAUGCCGUGGUGUGAUAAGGAUAUAUUAUUAUCAUCACCUUCCCUUUUUAUAAAUGGGGAAACUGAGGCAUGGAGGUGAUAGGUAACUUGCCCGAGGCCACCCAGCAAUAUCAGUGGCAGAAAUUGGACUAAACCCCAGGAUUUCUGUCUUCUAGUUCCUGGCUUUAGUGCAUUAGAACAGUAUUUGCUGACUGGAGAAGAGUGAGAGAGGAAGCAGAGGUUUCAGACUUGGCUUUUCAAAGUUACCUAGAUGGCAGAAUAUCUUUGAGGAUCUGGCCUCAGUCUUGAAGAGCUCCUUGCUCAAGUAGCUCCCCCUCUUCAAACCUUUCCAGGGCAUCUAGAGUUUUAAGGGCCUCCAAGUAUGAUCUCACAUUAGUCCACAUGGCAGAGGCCUGGGUCUGCAAAGCCCAAGAACCAGUUUCAGAUUUGGCCUUUUAGUUGUCUAUCAAUUAUUAAUAUAGCAGAUAUGCCUCACUAAGCAGUUGGCGUAUCUUGGUGCUAGGUGCUGUGCAUGGGCAUAUAACAAAAGGAUGGGGCUCUAUCUCAUGGGUCUAAGAUCACCUGAGUGCCUGUGGUUUAUUACGGGGAGGAGAGAGCUAGCUUUGAAUGUGGGGGUUGGAGCUCUCAUUGCCUCAGACUGCCUCUGCCUUCAAGAUCAUAUGCUCCUUCUAGAGCAGUCUUUCUUUGGAACAGUGGAACUCUUGGCCGCAUGGCACAAGAAUGAAUGCUAACAUCACAAAUAUAGAAUUAAAUGCCAAACUCAUUUCUUUUGACUAACCUUUUGCCAGUAAUCACAUCAAAUGCACACAAAGAAGUAAAAGUGAUGGGUGGCACUUGAAUACAAUGGUGUUAGACACUAACUUGAGAACCUAGAAAAAUAGGGAAGCUAGUUGAAAUAUUUUUUACAAGUUUUUUUUAAAUUAUUAUUUUAUUUUCCUUUUGAGGGAAUGUAAAUUUCUAUGGGAUUUUUCUCUUUGCUGAAAAUUUCAGAAAUAAAUAUUCUAAGGAAUAAAAAUUAAUUCCUUGGCCAGCUGUACUAGGUGGGUAGAAAUUGAAAGUAUGGCUCUGUAGCAUAAAUAUUAGGUGUGUGUGAACCGGGCCCUAUUUGAUUUGGAUUCGGCCCGAAUCAGGGACAGUGAUUCGAUUAAUUGAUUCAG